AUGCAAGUCGUGCGAGAAAGAUCUUCGGAUAUGAGUAGAGCGGCGGACGGGUGAGUAACGCGUAGGAAUCUACCUAGUAGAAGGGGAUAGCCCGGGGAAACCCGGAUUAAUACCGUAUACCUCCUUCGGGAGAAAGAAGGCCUCUCUUUGAAGCUUUCGCUAUUAGAUGAGCCUGCGUAAGAUUAGCUUGUUGGUGAGGUAAAGGCUCACCAAGGCAACGAUCUUUAGCUGGUCUGAGAGGACGAUCAGCCACAUUGGGACUGAGACACGGCCCAGACUCCUACGGGAGGCAGCAGUGGGGAAUAUUGGACAAUGGGCGCGAGCCUGAUCCAGCCAUACCGCGUGUGUGAAGAAGGCCUUCGGGUUGUAAAGCACUUUAAGCAGGGAGAAAAAGUUAUAAGUUAAUACCUUAUGAUCUUGAUGUUACCUGCAGAAUAAGCACCGGCUAAUUCCGUGCCAGCAGCCGCGGUAAUACGGAAGGUGCAAGCGUUAAUCGGAAUUACUGGGCGUAAAGCGCGCGUAGGUGGUUUGUUAAGUUGGAUGUGAAAGCCCUGGGCUCAACCUAGGAACUGCAUCCAAAACUAACUCACUUGAGUACGAUAGAGGGAGGUAGAAUUCAUAGUGUAGCGGUGGAAUGCGUAGAUAUUAUGAAGAAUACCGGUGGCGAAGGCGGCCUCCUGGAUCUGUACUGACACUGAGGUGC
rnacentral:rRNA from 1 species